rnacentral:rRNA from 1 species
GACGAACGCUGGCGGCGUGCUUAACACAUGCAAGUCGAACGGAAAGGCCCUGCUUUUGUGGGGUGCUCGAGUGGCGAACGGGUGAGUAACACGUGAGUAACCUGCCCUUGACUUUCGGAUAACUUCAGGAAACUGGGGCUAAUACCGGAUAGGAGCUCCUGCUGCAUGGGGGGGGUUGGAAAGUUUCGGCGGUUGGGGAUGGACUGGCGGCUUAUCAGCUUGUUGGUGGGGUAGUGGCUUACCCAGGCUUUGACGGGUAGCCGGCCUGAGAGGGUGACCGGCCACAUUGGGACUGAGAGAAGGCCCAGACUGCUAAGGGAGGCAGCAGGGGGGAAUAUUGCACAAUGGGCGGAAGCCUGAUGCAGCAACGCCGCGUGCGGGAUGACGGCCUUCGGGGUGUAAACCGCAUUCGCCUGUGACGAAGCGUGAGUGACGGUAACGGGUAAAGAAGCACCGGCUAACUACGUG